GACGAACGCUGGCGGCGUGUCUAAUACAUGCAAGUCGAACGAAGUGGGGACGGGUGAGUAACCCGUGGGUAACCUCCCAUCAGAGGGGAUAACACUUGGAAACAGGUGCUAAACCGAUACUGAUGGAUGGUCCCGCGGUGCAUUAGCUAGUUGGUGAGGUAACGGCUUACAAAGGCCACGAUGCAUAGCCGCCCUGAGAGGAUGAUCGGCCACACUGGGACUGAGACACGGCCCAGACUCCUACGGGAGGAAGCAGUAGGGAAUCUUCGGCAAUGGACGAAAGUCUGACCGAGCAACGCCGCGUGAGUGAAGAAGGUUUUCGGAUCGUAAAACUCUGUUGUUAGAGAAGCGGUAUCUAACCAGAAAGCCACGGCUAACUACGUGCCAGCAGCCGCGGUAAUUC
rnacentral:rRNA from 1 species